GAUGAAGAACGUAGUGAAAUGCGAUAAGUAAUGUGAAUUGCAGAAUUCAGUGAAUCAUCGAAUCUUUGAACGCACCUUGCGCCCCUUGGUUAUUCCAAAGGGCAUGCCUGUUUGAGUAUCAUGAACACCUCAACUCUUGUGGUUUCCCACAAUGAGCUUGGACUGUGGAGGUUUUGUUGGCCCUGUGGUCAGCUCCUCUCAAAUGGAUCAGCUUACCGGUGUUUGGUGGCAUUACGGGUGUGAUAACUAUCUACGCUCGUGGUCGUCUCCAAAUAACCUCCAGUGAUGGAGGUUCGCUGGAGCUUAUAAAUGUCUCUCCCCAGUGAAGACAGCCUUUGAACGUUCGAUCUCAAAUCAGGUAGGACUACCCGCUGAACUUAAGCAUAUUAAUAAGCGGAGGA
rnacentral:misc_RNA from 1 species